UCAUAACCUCAUUCGUCACUACCAAAACCCUAAACCCCAAUUUCACUUCACAGCCAAACAAAACUAAACCCUUCUUUCUCUCUCUAUUCUCCGAUUCAUUAUGGCCGCCGUCUUGCGCCGUGCUCUCCGCCGCGAUCUUGCUUCUUCCUCUGUCUCUGCCUUUCGAUCGUUGACCUAAGCCAUCAUAUGCAGCUCAAAAGUGGGCAAGUUUGGUUCGACCUUUCAGUUCUAGGCCUGCUGGUAGUGAUGUCAUUGGAAUUGAUUUGGGUACUACCAAUUCAUGUGUUUCUUUAAUGGAGGGAAAGAGAGGCUACCUUCUAAAGUCUUGGUCAUACUAAAAGGGUUAUUGGAACAACAACAAAAUCAGUGAAAAAUAAAUCUCAUUCAGAUGAAAUGGUGUUUGCUUGGAAAAUGGGGGAUGAAGAAGAACAUCCAAUUCUCAUUCCCUCCAUGCGUAGAAAUUGGGUAUAGAAGCUUACGUUCAGAUGCAGCAUUAGAAGCCAUAGCUAAAGCUUCAGAAGACAAAGUUCCCAACGUAGUUCUCUACAAUUACCCUUCAUUUUCUGGAGCUUUCUCUUCUCUCUUUGCUCACCUCUUCCACACUCGUCACAAUCUCCCUUCCCUUUCUUUACCUUUCUCUUCUGUCCCUUCCCUCGCUUUCAGGGUUGAAGAUUUGUGCAUUGAAAGCCUUCAGACAUGCUAUUUGCUUGACUUUCUUCCUCCAAAGGAAUUCAUUUUCAAACUUUCCCAUCAAUCAAAUUGCAAGAUUAUUGGGUUUGAUCAUCGAAAAUCGGUGCUUUCACAGAUUCCUUCUACAAAUGAGUGUCCUGAGAAUAUUAUGAUUAAUCUUAACCAUGAAAAGAGUAGUUCAAGAGCUGUUUAUGAGUACUUUACCGACAAACACGAAGACAUUAAAACUUCUAAUGGUGUGGUUCCAAGUUUGGUGGACUCAAAAGAUAAAGGGCGAGUGGAGCUUAUUCUUAAGUAUAUUGAGGAUGCUGAUCUUCGCCAUUGGAGCUUGCCUGACAUUAAACCCUUUAACAUUGGACUGAGUGAAUGGCGGUCGAGGUUUAGCUGCAUUUCUAACCCAUACAUGUUUAAGCAGUUGCUGGAAUUGAGUGUUGAAGAGUUAAUUGCUAAAGGAAAUUCAUCUCUUUUAGCUCGCCAGAAUGCUGCAAGUAAAUUGCUGGAUAAGGUUUUCAGGGUUCGGCUGGGUAGAGGAUUUUAUGGAGAGUGUCUGGGAGUUCGGGCAGAUGGGAACUCUAACUUAAGUGAUGAAAUUGGCAUGCUUCUCAGUGUAAAAAGUGCUGCUAUUGGUCUGAGGUGAGGCCCAUAGGAGCUGUGAUAUUCAUGCAACGGAAUAAUCUCAAAAUGUGCUUGCGAAGCUCUGAUAAUGCUACUGAUACUUCUGAAGUUGCUAAGGCAUAUGGCGGAGGAGGUUCUGCAAGUUCAAGCUCCUUCAUAAUAAGGAUGGAUGAGUAUAACCAAUGGCUUUCAGCUAAUUCAUUAUGAUGGUUUCCGGGUUUGAAUAUCUUGUCUUGCUGUCAUGUAAAUUAUAUCAUUUGAUAAAUUUACUCACUGCCUUUAGGAAUGAUAAUAUGAUGGUUUGUGGUACUUGAUGUAAUAUCAAAUUUUUGAGGCAAAAAAGGGAUCUAUUGAGGCAGAGACAGAGGGUGCGGUGUCUGUAGAACACUUGUAUUUCUCAUCUGAUAUGGAGAAUGACAGUAGCGUUAUCCAUAGACUGUCUUGAUCAUUGAUGUUGCACACGAUAAGAGUUGAGAAGGUAGAGCAUGAGAAAGAACAAAGCAUUCAUCUUGGGGGUAAACAGGCUAUUGUUUAGAAGGUUGAUUUCAAGGACAAAGAUGUCGAAGUAGAUGAAAUUGAAAUAACAUUCCUAGCGUCUAUUUUCUGAUUAGUUUUAACUGUUGAAGCUCUAAUACCACCGCUGCAAUUGUGUUUUUUACCAUCAGUUAUUGGAUCUUCUUCCACCAGUGUUCUUUUUUAUUACAUAUUUUGACAUUUUGGUAUUCGAUUAUUAUCUUCAGUGAUUUCUAUCCUUUUUUUGUUGAAA